CGACGGGUGAGUAACGCGUGGAAAACCUGCCGUAUACUGGGGGAUAACACUUAGAAAUAGGUGCUAAUACCGCAUAAGCGCACAGCUUCGCAUGAAGUGGUGUGAAAAACUCCGGUGGUAUACGAUGGUUCCGCGUCUGAUUAGCUUGUUGGUGGGGUAAUGGGCUCACCAAGGCGACGAUCAGUAGCCGGCCUGAGAGGGUGAACGGCCACAUUGGGACUGAGACACGGCCCAAACUCCUACGGAAGGCAGCAG
rnacentral:rRNA from 1 species